GUUUGCUCAGCUGCACAGACAUUUAUUUAGCUGUAGCAAGAUUUUCCCUGGCUCCUUGCAUGCAUCUACAGAGUCGCAGCUUCAAUCUCAUUGAUGAGGGAGUUGCUGCAAACAAUCCAACUCAGGUGGCUAUAACCCAUAUUUUCAACCAAAUUGUGAAAGGAAACUUUGAAAAUGUGGAUAUCAAACCAAUGGACACUACGAUGAUUUUAGGUGUAUCACUUGGCACUGGUACAGCUAGGUUUGAGGCGAAGUACAAUGUCACCAUGGUUGCUGAAUGGAGUCCGGUCAAUUGGAUUUUUGAUAAGGGUGCUACCCCUUGAUCGAUGUUUAUAGUGCUUCAAGCACUGACAUGGUCGACAUUCAAGUUUCAUCACUGUUUCAAGCCCUUGGAGCAGAGAAAAAUUAUCUGCGUAUUCAGGAUGAUAAUCUUACAUGGAAUACAACAUCAGUUAAUGUAGCAACCACAACAAAUAUGGAGGCACAAGCUGCUAGAUAAGUAUUUCGCAUAAAAUUUCUUUUUAUGGACCAAUCAAUGUACCGGAUCACUGCACGCAGACAUCUUGGAAUUCCCAGUAAAUUUAGUAUUAGCAAGCAUUCGCAUGACUUUCUUUAAAGGU